rnacentral:rRNA from 1 species
GUACACGCUGUGACUAGCAUAUCAAUAAGCGGAGGAAAAGAAACUAACAAGGAUUCCCCUAGUAACGGCGAGUGAAGCGGGAAGAGCUCAAAUUUGAAAUCUUAAAGGGUUUCCCUUUACGAAUUGUAGUUUAAAGAAGUGUUUUCUGUUGAGGUUUUGGUAAAAGUUCUUUGGAAUAGGACAUCAUAGAGGGUGAGAAUCCCGUAUUUGACCUUUACUUUCAACUUUGUGAUACACUUUCAAAGAGUCGGAUUGUUUGGGAAUGCAGUCCAAAAUGGGUGGUAAAUUUCAUCUAAAGCUAAAUAUUGGCGAGAGACCGAUAGCGAACAAGUACCGUGAGGGAAAGAUGAAAAGAACUUUGAAAAGAGAGUUAAACAGUACGUGAAAUUGUCAAAAGGGAAGCGUUUGACACCAGUGUUGUUUUUCUGAAAAUCAAUUAAAGAACUGUUUAUGCUAAGUUGUUUAGACUUUAUCAGCUAACUGUUUAGUUUUGAGCUUUUCUUUAAUGCACUUUUCAGUUAACAAGUCAACAUCAAUUUCUUUUGCUGUAGAAAAAGCUUGAGGAAGGUGGCUUGAGAUUCGUCUUAAGUGUUUAUAGCCUCUUGCCUAUGCAGUCGGAGAGAUUGAGGUCUGCAGCGUAGAUCCUUCGGGGCUAAAUGCAUUUGUGCUAAGUUAUAGCAUUUUAUAGACAACUUGUUGACUAUGAUUUGUCUUGUAGCUUACUCGCUUAUGUUAUUUUACCUACGCUUAGGAUGUUGAGUCGUAGAGCACGCAG